rnacentral:rRNA from 1 species
UAUAAAUCUAAGUUUGAUCCUGGCUUAGAUUUAACGCUAAAGACAUACAUAUAAAAUGCUUGCUAAUUAAGUAUAUAUAAUUAAUAAUAAUAUACUAGUGUACAGGUGAGUAAUAAAUAUAAUUAUAAUAAUUAAAUUAAUAGAAUUAUAAAUUCUAAAUAAAUUUUUUAUAAAUUAAUAUAACUAAAGUUAUUUGUUUAAUUUUAAUUAUAUUUUCUAUUAACUACUUAAUAUAUAAAAAUAUAUAAAGUCAAUAUAGAUAGCUGGCUUGAGAGAGUGACCAGCCACAUUGGACCUGAAAUAAUGUCCAAACUUUUUAGAAAGUUAGCGGCAGGGAAUUUUUUGCAAUUAGCGAAAGCUAGACAAAGUAAUGUCUUGUGAAGGGAGUAAAAACCAUAAACUUCUAUUAUUCUAUUUAUACUAAAAGAAGAUUAGAUUAAAAUAUCGGCUAACUCUGUGCCAGCAGCCGCGGUAAUACAGAGGAUAUGAGCGUUAAUCGAAAUUACUGGGCAUAAAGCAUUAAAAGGUUGUUUUAUAAAUUAAAAAUAAAAAUUAAAAGCUUAACUUUUAAAAUUUUUAAUAAUAAUAUAAAACUAAAGAUAGUAUAAUUAGUUUAAAGAAUUUCUUGAGUAGUAGUGAAAUGCUUGAAUACAAGAAAGAAUACCAUAAUAGUGAAAAUAUUAAACUAUAACUAUCUUAAAACUAAAAUAAUGAAAGCUAUGGGGAGCAAAUGGGAUUAGAUACCCCAGUAGUCCUAGCUGUAAAUUAUGGGUAUUAAAUAUAAGAAUAUCAUUUAAUUAUAUUUUUAUAUUAAAGUAAAUACGUUAAAUACCCCGCCUGAAUAGUACGUUCGCUAGAAUUAAAUUCAAAGGAACUGACGGGAACUCAUAUUAGCGGUGGGUCAUGUGAUUUAAUUCGAUGAAGACCGUAAGAUCUUACCAAAAUUUAACAUAUUUGAUUAAUAUAUAUUAAUGUAUAUAUAUAAACUAAUAUAGGUGGUGCAUGGUUGUCUGCAGCUGGUGCUUUGAGGUAUCAAAUUAAUUUUUGUAACCGGCGAAACCCUUUUUAUUUUAAAAAAAAAUAAUAAGAAUUAUAUUUUAUAAUAUAACAGGAAGAGAAGGAUUAAGUCAAAUCAUUAUGCCCCUUAUAUUUUGGGCUACUCGCGUGACACAAUAAGUAAUACAAUAAUUUAUAAAAUAUUAAAUCUAGAGAUAGAUUCUUAUUUAUUUUUUUUAUAAUAAAAUAACACUAUGUUUUUUUUUAAAUUACAUUUUUAUUAUAAAAUAUAAUACAAAAUUACUUUAAGUACGGAUUAUUGAUUGAAAUUUCAAUAUUAAAAAUUAAGGAGGAACCGCUAGUAAUCGUUGGUAAGUUAAACAACGGUGAAUAAAAUAUUUGAGUUUUGUACACACCGCCCGUCGUGCUCAUAAAAAUAUAUCAUAAUAAGUCGUAUUAAGUAUGGUGAAAUAUCGGUAUAUUAAUGUGAGCGAAGUCGUAACAAGGUAGCCGUACUGGAAAGUGCGGCUAGAUA